UACAGAGGUCCCAAGCGUUGUUCGGAUUCAUUGGGCGUAAAGGGUGCGUAGGUGGCGCCGUAAGUGGGGUGUGAAAUCUCGGGGCUUAACUCCGAAACUGCAUUCCAUACUGCGGUGCUUGAGGACUGGAGAGGAGACUGGAAUUCAUGGUGUAGCAGUGAAAUGCGUAGAGAUCAUGAGGAAGACCAGUGGCGAAGGCGGGUCUCUGGACAGUUCCUGACACUGAGGCACGAAGGCCAGGGAGCAAACGGG
rnacentral:rRNA from 1 species